CGUGCCGUGAAAGAUGACCUCGUUGUCUGAAAGCCACACCACAAGUUGAACAUUUGUAAGGCUUUUCACCGGUGUGUAUUCUGAAAAGAAAAAUGCUUUGUCAGUAAGGCUUUUCACCAAUGUGUAUUCUUAAAAGAAAAAAAACCUGUGUGUAAAGGUUUCCCCUUUGGAGCCCUCUUAAGUUUAAAGUCUGUUGACUCUGUCUGUAAGGAUAUUCAAGAAAGAUGAUAUCUACACCUCACUUGAUUUGAAGAUGCAGAGGAUACUACAGUUGAUGAAGGUAAUCUGAAUUGCAUCAGUACUUGUCCAGAAGGUAAUGUAAAGCAUCUGAAAAUGAGCUCUGCAUUUUCAUAAACUGUAUCCCAUCUACAAAGACUGUACAGGCAGUCCCCGGGUUUUAAGGCGCUUUUAAAUUAUAUUCAUCAGAAAUUAUUUCCAGGGUUACGACGCCUACAACGUUGAUCUGGCAGAUGGAAUAUGACACCAAAAAUGCAAAAUAAUCAAUAUUUGAAGGCUAUUUUGAUGAAAAAUGCAAUAACAAUGCAGUUUAUAUAGUUUUCAAUGCACCCAAAGCAUUAAAAGUAAGGUUUUCUUAAGAUUUUUGACGAUGUUCCGGCUUACGACGUGUCUCAAAAACGGAACCCCCGUCGUAACCUGGGGACUGCCUGUAUAUGACAACCCUACCAACACGAAUUUUUAACAAAUCAGAAAUAGCAAAAUAUUUGACAUCAUGGUUUUCAUCAAGAAAAGCCACCAGUAUGGUAGUACAUACUAGUCUUCCCAGUCAGGUAUAUAUGUCACUUUUGGAUACAUGCAUCAACUGCCAAGACCACCACAAGGUGCAUCUAUUUAUAUUUCAUUAUCUGACCACUCCUUUCAUUCUAGGCCACAAGUUCAUGAAAGUGGAAUUCAGAUUUAAUGGCGAUAUUCCAUUAUUGCAACUGUGCAGUAAAUAUCAUUAGAAAAUUGAGCUGCAUGCACCAUUUGCAAAGGUUACCCCCUCUCUAUAAAAAGACCUAAUGAAAAUUUCAUUAAAGUAGAAGAGUACAAACUGCCCAAGGAAGGCAUAACUGAAAAUCAUUCAGUGGCAAACACCAGUUAUUGUCACCCAUAGAUAUAGAUGCAAGAGGCUACAACUAAUGGAUUAUCAAGCAACAGCACAUUAUCUAAAUAGAUCAUCAGAAUAUCGGAAAUUGUCCACAGAGUAAAUGUGUGAUGCGAAAAAAUUCAAAACUUUUUAACAUCUCUUUACUCCGUAAUGAUCAACAACUUGCAAGUCGUGUACUAUAUUCUUAGAUACAAGAUCACUGAACAUUGAGAUCAGGAGGAUAUGUAUUAGCAAACCUGAGAGACCUAAAGGAUGUUGUUGUUCUCCUUUGUUCAAAUGACUGAUAACGUGUACAGUCGUCAAACUGAAUUUUCUGCAAUACGACAUUGAGAAUGGAACUGUCAGGCUAGAUCCUGCUAACCUAGAACCACCAUAAGAACUACUGAUUCAGACUUGCUCCAAUUCUGCAAAGUAUGAAAAUACCCCAUUCCCAUAUUAUUCAAGAAAAUCUCUCAAGUUGAAAAUCAAUUAUUUCCUGUGUUUAAGAAUAGGAAAAUAGUACAAAGUUUUAUAAAUGGGUCAGUCAUGCCCCUCUUGAGUUAUCAGCAAUGGUCCUUCUCCUUCCAAAGUGGGGAAUAUACAUGUUGGGCAGUAUUAACUAUAGUUCUCACCUAGCAGUGGCAAGAAGCAAAUCUCAUUUAUGUUUACUACCCAGCUAUCUAACUACAUAAAAAAAAGAUGCUUCUAAAAUGACAAAGCUGGUUAACUAUAUAACUUUGAGAUCAUACUCAGACUGAGUUCAUUGAACUUUGUGUGAUGUUUUCAUUUAAUAGAUAGUACUUUGUCACAAAUUCCCUAUAUGUAAUUGAAAACCACCCUUUAGCUCUGUGCCAUCCUGGUAUUAACAGUCCUGUUGUGAAAUUUUUUUUUUUAAGUAAAGAAAUCAAACAAACCUGUUGUGAUUGCCUAGUCUGUGUAGGGGUGAAUGAACACUGCCACAAACCAGCACCUGAUCCUACUUAUCCGCUCUUGUAUUCUCUUUGGUAGCCUAGCAAUAGAUUUCAAAGGAAAUGAAUCUUCCUUACUUUCCAUUAAGUUCAUAGAUGAAUACUUUUUGUCCUGAAACCUGCCCAACCAUUACAAAGUGCUUCCCCAGAAUAUUUCUUAAUGUUUUCUUGUCCACUCAGAUCACAGUGCUGAGUUUGUUACCAUAACUCCGCAGUGCAUAACAGCAAAAUGUACCACUUAAGAUUUUUUUGUGCAGUCUCCAAAGUUGGGCGACUGUCAUAGGCUUACUGUUUUAGGUGUUGCCUUGUACUUGCUCUGGUCAUUACACUUCAUAAAGGGGUUUUUACUUUUGCCCAAAGAUCUGCAACACAUAGGAUUAAGGGCUGACAGGAGGACCAGCUCUGUUGAAGUUUGUCAAGCAAGUGAAGUCAGAUCCUAACUCCACCAAAAUGUGAUAUUUUGAUGGAAGGUAACAUACUACCUAUCAUACCACCAAUUAGUCCGUAAAACUCCUAUCAUCAACAGCACUACCUGCUAUCACUCCAACAGCUAAGAAAAUUCACCACUUCCAGCAGAUGGUGAAGCAUAAUGCAUCAAAACUUACGUGAUUUGAAUAAUGUCAGAAAAAUGGCUUCUGAAAAUUACUCAAGUUUUUAGUUUUUACAUUUGUUUUCAUUUUGCGUAUUUUAAUUUCAAGUAUUAAUGUUUGAAAUAAGUUCAAUAAAACUGAAAAUAUGGGUUCCAGUCUUCUACUUAAGCCUCCUGGACUUCCAUUCUUAAUCCAUUCUAUCAUAAACCAACAAAGGAGUUUGAGUCAUGUCCCCUAAUCUGAAGUACUCUACAUAUAAAACUGCAGACUGGUACAUUAUCAUUACAAGUCUUCCACUAGUACAAUUUAGAAUAAGUAGUGCUAUCUGGCAAUAAUACAACCCCUGGAAAUAUUCACUAGCUUGAGUUCUUACCUUGGAAACAGUCAGCCCUGAGGAUUCAUUCACAAGUGAAGAAAAAAAAGAAUGAAAAACUUGCUAAAGUAUUGGUUUAUUAAGUUUUUUACUUCGGCUACCAGUCCUAGCAUACCUGUACAACUGAUUCUAAGCAUGCACUCAAAAAGAAGUUAAGAGUACCUUGGAAAUGUAUUAAAGCUUUCAAGAAAAAAAAAA